rnacentral:lncRNA from 1 species
AUUAUAACAAAUACUGUUAUAACAAAAUUUCCAAUAUAACAAAGCCUCCACACACAACCUAUAAAAAACAAUGCUAGAAGAAUCUCAUUAUGACAAAAUCUGUUGUUACAAAAAAUUCACUGUAAUGAACCUUUUCUAGAAACCCUAACAUUCAAAAAAUUGCUAUAUAAUGAAAUUUUGAGUUCAAGAAACUUCCUCAGUCCUUUCUAUGAUCAACAGUCAUUAUGAAGCUAACUCUUCCAGAACAUUCCAAAUCACUUCCUAAUGGGGUGGAAUGUUUGCAAAGUGGCAGUGUUUAAAUAUCUGAACACUAGAUUAACUCAGUCUUUUACUGUAUACAUUCAUAAAGUCAUUGAUUCUAACAUACACUCCACAUUCAAACAAAAACGCCACCAGUUUUCUAUGAAGGAAAAGUUAAACAUUAUUGCUGCUGUUGAUUUUGGAAAAAAAGAUAGUUACCUGUGGC